CUACGGAGGAUGCGAGCGUUAUCCGGAUUUAUUAGGUUUAAAGGGUGUGUCGGCGGUAUUUUAAGUCAGUGGUGAAAUCUCGGAGCUUAACUUCGAAACUGCCAUUGAUACUGGAAUACUUGAGUAUAGUUGAGGUAGGCGGAAUAUGUAAUGUAGCGGUGAAACGCAUAGAUAUUACAUAGAACACCGAUUGCGAAGGCAGCUUACUAAACUAUUACUGACGCUGAUGCACGAAAGCGUGGGGAGCGAACAGGAUUAGAAACCCUAGUAGUCC
rnacentral:rRNA from 1 species